GAGCGGUAACGCGGGAGCAAUCCUGGCGACGAGCGGCGAACGGGUGAGUAAUGCUUCGGAAUCUACCCAGUAGUGGGGAAUAACCAACCGAAAGGUUGGCUAAUGCCGCAUACGACCUACGGGUGAAAGCAGGGGAUCGUAAGACCUUGCGCUAUUGGAUGAGCCGAAGUCGGAUUAGCUAGUUGGUAGGGUAACGGCCUACCAAGGCGACAAUCCGUAGCUGGUCUGAGAGGACGACCAGCCACACUGGGACUGAGACACGGCCCAGACUCCUACGGGAGGCAGCAGUGGGGAAUAUUGGACAAUGGGGGCAACCCUGAUCCAGCGACGCCGCGUGUGUGAAGAAGGCCUGCGGGUUGUAAAGCACUUUUAGUGGGGAUGAAAAGCUCANGGGCUAAUACCUCUGGGUCUUGACCUAACCCACAGAAAAAGCACCGGCUAACUCUGUG
rnacentral:rRNA from 1 species